UACGUAGGGUGCAAGCGUUGUCCGGAAUUAUUGGGCGUAAAGAGCUCGUAGGCGGUCUGUCGCGUCUGCUGUGAAAACUCGGGGCUUAACUCCGGGCCUGCAGUGGGUACGGGCAGACUAGAGUGCGGUAGGGGAGACUGGAAUUCCUGGUGUAGCGGUGAAAUGCGCAGAUAUCAGGAGGAACACCGGUGGCGAAGGCGGGUCUCUGGGCCGAUACUGACGCUGAGGAGCGAAAGCGUGGGGAGCAAACAGG
rnacentral:rRNA from 1 species